UGGGGAAUUUUGGACAAUGGGCGCAAGCCUGAUCCAGCAAUGCCGCGUGCAGGAUGAAGGCCUUCGGGUUGUAAACUGCUUUUGUACGGAACGAAACGGCUCUGGUUAAUACCUGGGGCUAAUGACGGUACCGUAAGAAUAAGCGCCGGCUAACUACGUGCCAGCAGCCGCGGUAAUACGUAGGGUGCGAGCGUUAAUCGGAAUUACUGGGCGUAAAGCGUUCGCAGGCGGUGAUGUAAGACAGAUGUGAAAUCCCCGGGCUCAACCUGGGACCUGCAUUUGUGACUGUAUAGCUAGAGUACGGUAGAGGGGGAUGGAGUUCCGCGUGUAGCAGUGAAAUGCGUAGAUAUGCGGAGGAACACCGAUGGCGAAGGCAAUCCCCUGGACCUGUACUGACGCUCAUGCACGAAAGCGUGGGGAGCAAACA
rnacentral:rRNA from 1 species